ensembl:lncRNA
UAUAAUGCCGCUUUUCCACUGCAUGGUACCAGCUCGACACGACUCGACUCGACUCGACUCAGCUCGCCUUUUUUGCGUUUCCACCGCGAAAACAUGGUAUCUGGUACCUGAAGUGGCUGCUUUUUCUAGUACCGCCUCGCUCUAGGUUCCAAGCGGCUGAGCCGAUGCUAAAAGGUGACGUCGGCAGACGGCCGGCCACUGAUUGGCCAGAGAGUGUGACGAAGUCACGAGAGCGACAUGGCAACCAUGCUGGUAACAGCCAUAGAUAGCAGCGCCGCAGCCAACAUAUUCCACUUCUUCAACAUGCCAGCUAAUAAUACGAACACGAAUACCAUCGCAUCGAUGUUCUCCAUUGUUGUUAUGUGGGUUCUGUCCAUGUGUGGGUUACGUAGGUGUUGUUUGCGUCGCGUACAAAAAUACGUCACGGCCCUUUCGCGCAGCCGACCCCGCCCACGUCCCGGAGGUACUAUUUGGAGUAGGGUCCGACUGCGUCCUGCGUCCUAGAAAUACACGCCCCUCGUGGGAAAUACACGCCCCUCGUGGGAAAUACACGCCCCUCGUGGGAAAUACACGCCCCUCGUGUGAAAUACACGCCUAUACAGAGUAGGGUCGGGGGCGUAGUCGGCCCUGAUUGGUCUGAUUCACGACGGCGUCUCUUCUCUUGUCGAACCUGCUCCGGAGAUGUAACGAACUGGUCGACAGCAGACAGCAGAAAGAUGAUUGCCUCGAUUGAUUUGAUCCAUCCAACUGUCCAACAUGGAUCUCUGAUGCAGCCAGUGCGGUUGGGACCCGAUUCUUACGGGUGCCAAGUUUGUAAAAAAAUGUGCGAUUACCCAGCCAUGGUUGCACAUCUUCAAACACAUGACAAAGCAGCCAUAUCUCACAAUGGCUACAAAAUCUAUAGGUGCCAACACAACUGUGCCAACACUAGAUCUCCACACUACCACUGUGUGUGCGCAACCAUUACUGGGAAAAAAGCGUCAUGCAUAAAGCACCUGCAGACCUGCCCUGGCAUGAGGACACCACCUCCAUCUCAAGGCCUCAGCACGCCGAGCCCAAUGCCAGCCACGCACCCGCCACCUCCGUCUCAAGGCCUCAGCACGCCAAGCCCAAUGCCAACCACGCACCCGCCACCUCCAUCUCAAGGCCUCAGCACGCCAAGCCCAAUGCCAACUUUUUUCUUUGACUUUCUUUCUGUCUUUCUUUCCCUUUCUUUCUACUGCAGAUGUGGCAAAAGAUUCUGUCAUUUCACCCAAGAAGGACACCAGAUGGUGAAUGGACUCCUGGCACCGGUGUUCCGGGUAACACGGAAGCGGAAGCGGAAGGUUUUGACCAAGGCAGAUGAUGUUUUCCUGAAGGACACAAUUGAGGCAGCAGCAUGGUGCCAGUUGCAGACCUUCACCGACCACGUUUCUCUCCCGAUGGUCAUUGGGGUGGAAGGUGCAGAGCAGCAGGCAUUAUUAGCAGAGCUGAAAUCCGUUGACCGCAGUUGCCCGGAAGAAAGCCCAAACAGGAUUGAACCGUUCCAGUUCUUCUUCAAUUCAAAGAAGGACUACGAAAUGUUCUGUGUGGAGAUGUUUGACCGGAGAAAGCUGAAAGUGUUUGCUUCUUGGGAGUAGCGACAUUUUACCCAUUGUUUUAAUUGAACUGGGGGACCGGGGGCCGAUUCUUUAUGUUAUCAUUUAUAUAACCAGUUCUAAAACCAUUUUCAUUUGUCUUUAUAAAUAAAAUGAUGUCACGGUAUUAUCAGUUGUUUCUUACCAACUUGAUAGUCUACACCACAUUCUGUGCACAUUUCACUGCCAGCCACUCUGACAUGGUUAGAGUGGAACAGCUUCGUAACAGAAGAGUUAACGAUGACGUUGGAAAAUUACUCCCCGAUCUCAGUAGGAAAUCACAAUCCUACGUUAUUCCCCGAUCUCAGUAGGAAAUCACAAUCCUACGUAUUACGUCAUCACGCUGAGAGGAAAUCACAAUCCUACGUAUUACGUCAUCACGCUGAGAUUGGUCAGUCGAGGGGCGUGUAUUUCCCACGAGGGGCGUGUAUUUCUACACGGGGCGUGUCUUGCCAGGACGCAGGACGCAGUCGGACCCUAUUGACU